GAUGAAGAACGUAGCAAAAUGCGAUAAGUAAUGUGAAUUGCAGAAUUCAGUGAAUCAUCGAAUCUUUGAACGCACAUUGCGCCCGCCAGUAUUCUGGCGGGCAUGCCUGUUCGAGCGUCAUUUCAACCCUCAAGCUCAGCUUGGUGUUGGGACUCGCGGUAACCCGCGUUCCCCAAAUCGAUUGGCGGUCACGUCGAGCUUCCAUAGCGUAGUAAUCAUACACCUCGUUACUGGUAAUCGUCGCGGCACGCCGUAAAACCCCAACUUCUGAAUGUUGACCUCGGAUCAGGUAGGAAUACCCGCUGAACUUAAGCAUAUCAAUAAGCGGAGGA
rnacentral:misc_RNA from 1 species